AUAUUAUUUACAUUUUGAAUUUGUCCUACAUACAUAGAUUGCAACUAUCUAAUGCAUAACUUUUGGAACAUAUUUUAUCCGCCUUUUAUCUUUUACACAUAUAUCAGAACUUAAUACUUAUUUAUUUAACAAUUGUUGAAUCCGUCAUCCUACUUAAAUGCAUAACUGACCAAUUUCAACAUUUUAAAUUUCAAAAAUACAAUUGAAACCCUAAAAUCUCAAGUUCUCUGUAUAAACCAAGGAUUCCAAGUCAGCCUCUACCCAUGUUUUCGCCUUCAACAAUUUAUAUUUCUUUAGAUCUAGCAACAAGCAUUUACAUGGAUGUGUGGAGCACAUAUGAUGGUGUUACAGCCCCCCAUCUGCACACCACUAACAUUGUCGUGUCUCUUCUUCAACCUCAGUUCCCUAACAUGAACUUGCUUUGUCUCCAAACUCUUUCGUUCUUCGACUACUAAGCACCACCACCAUAAUCAAUGCGCUCGACAUUGGCUCCGCCCUUGGACAACUGCCCACUGGCAGCACGACUUCACAUCAAAACACAACCACACAUCUCGCAAUGCUAAAGACAUCGCACAUUCGCACUAUCGUUAUCACACCCACCGGAAGGCUUAACAUCCGCCUCUCUGUCGUUUACCACCAUGGUCCACCCUUCUCUCACUCUCAAAACCUAAUCCCCAUUUUCAAUAUAUGUUUAAUGUUUUAUAUGUGUUCUCACACGAAAUUCUAUUUUUAUUGGUUUUCUUGUUGAUUCCAUAUAUGUAUUGCUGGACUGAAGCUUGAACAAGAAACUCCCAAUGCUCCUAUGUUCCCUAACCAUGAAAUGAUUCUUUUAUUGCAGGAAACUUCUACAGAUCCAUGGAUGUAUUGUAUGUAUGUGUUUUUUUUUCUUUUUUAUGAAUUUCUAGGGCUUUGAUCAGUUUUGAUUUGAUUUAUUUUUAUAUAAGAAAGUUAUAUUGAUCUAUUGCAUAACUAUUUUCAAACUACAUGAGGUUUUUAAAUUGAUUUCAGAAAACAUUGGAAUCUAAGCCCAAUGUUGAACAAUUUGGCUUAUUGGAAGUAAUUCUUGCAACAAACUGGAUACAAGUUCUCCUACUAGGAAACACUAAGGAUAUCAUUCUCAUAUAGGUUCCUGUUAUGAGACACUUGGUAUGUUACAUUUCAAUUUUUUUGGUUUUUUAAUUAAGAUGGUAACUUUGUAUAUUUUUAGUGGUUUAAAUAUGUGGUUUUCAUAUAAUUUUCAACCAAGACAGAAUUCGUAAGGCAUACAUUUUUUCCAGUCGUGUUCUUGUAUAUAAACACCCCGUCUUUAUAAACAUAUUUGAUGUCUGUAUGUGCUAAUUUGAUGUUGUUUUUGCUAUGGAUGUGCAGGUUAUUGAUUAUGUAUUGGAUAGACAAAAGGAGACUGAAUGGAUGUGCAUCGUGUUGUAUUGCAUAUAGCGAUAUAUGUACAAGUUUUAUCAUCACUAUUUUUAAUGUUUUUUGAGGACAUCCGUUGAUAUCUGAAAGGAAGCCAAGUACAAAAUUUGACAUUUUUUGAGUGUUGGGUUCUUAGUUGGUGGGAAGACUCUACGUGGGAAAUUAGAAAUUAUAGGGAAUCUAAUGCAUAGGGCUUGUUGAAGGGAUCAGAUGCCAUUGUUUCAUGCCAAGUCUUCAUAUAAACCAUCAUGUCCUCACAUGUUAAUACCUAGAAACAAAAGAGACAAAAAAAAUUUAUUUUGCCUUAUUAUUCUCCUUUUUACUUAAGUAAUCCGGAAACGUUAAUUAGGUGGAAAAAACAUAACUUUACCUUUUUUUUUGGUUUAUAGUAGUAUAAUCCAUUUUUGACAAAUCUGUUUUUCAUAUAGGAUGAAGUGAUUAAUAUCAAUACUUUUUUUUGGUUUAUAGUCAGUAUAUAGUUAGUUUUUAUAACAAUUUUAUUUUCAUGUAGGAUAGAAUGGGUAACAGUGGCAGGAAAUGGAAGCUGUGGAGGAGAUAAUAAAGGCAGUCAGUCAGGUGUUGAUUGCAAGGGUUUCGAAGGAAGCUACAUGGGCAAAAUCUCUUUAUUAUGAGUCAUGGUUGAUUUUAAAAGACCAAUUAUAACAAGAAGAGGAUGUAUGAGCAUUUUAUUGGUUAUCUAUUAUUAUUGAUUAUAUAUUUAUUUAAUUUAAAGAUCUUGUUCGUUUUUUGAUAAAUACAAAUAAUACAUCACAUAGAAUUUGUGUCA
rnacentral:lncRNA from 1 species